AUGGAGGGCCAUGAUCCAAAGGAACCAGAGAAGUUGAGAAAACUGUUUAUUGGUGGUCUGAGCUUUGAAACUACAGAUGAUAGUUUAAGAGAACAUUUUGAGAAAUGGGGCACACUCACAGAUUGUGUGGUAAUGAGAGACCCCCAAACAAAACGUUCCAGGGGCUUUGGUUUUGUGACUUAUUCUUGUGUUGAAGAGGUGGAUGCAGCAAUGUGUGCUUGACCACACAAGGUUGAUGGGCGUGUAGUGGAACCAAAGACAGCUGUUUCUAGAGAGGAUUCUGUAAAGCCUGGUGCCCAUCUAACAGUGAAGAAAAUUUUUGUUGGUGGUAUUAAAGAAGAUACAGAAGAAUAUAAUUUGAGAGACUUCUUUGAAAAGUAUGGCAAAAUUGAAACCAUAGAAGUUACGGAAGACAGGCAGAGUGGGAAAAAGAGGAUUUGCUUUUGUAACUUUUGAUGAGCAUGAUACAGUUGAUAAAAUUGUUGUUCAGAAAUACCACACUAUUAAUGGGCAUAAUUGUGAAGUGAAAAAGGCCCUUUCUAAACAAGAGAUGCAGUCUGCUGGAUCACAGAGAGGUCGUGGAGGUGGAUCUGGCAAUUUUAUGGGUCGCGGAGGAAACUUUGGAGGUGGUGGAGGAGCUAUGGUGGUGGAGGUGGUGGCAGCAGAGGUAGUUAUGGAGGAGGUGAUGGUGGAUAUAAUGGAUUUGGAGGUGAUGGUGGCAACUAUGGUGUGGUCCUGGUUAUAGUAGUAGAGGGGGCUAUGGUGGUGGUGGACCAGGAUAUGGAAACCAAGGUGGUGGAUAUGGUGGAGGUGGUGGAGGAUAUGAUGGUUACAAUGAAGGAGGAAAUUUUGGCGGUGGUAACUAUGGUGGUGGUGGGAACUAUAAUGAUUUUGGAAAUUAUAGUGGACAACAGCAAUCAAAUUAUGGACCCGUGAAAGGGGACAGUUCUGGUGGAAGAAGCUCGGGCAGUCCCUAUGGUGGUGGUUAUGGAUCUGGUGGUGGAAGUGGUGGAUAUGGUAGCAGAAGGU
rnacentral:lncRNA from 1 species